AUUGUUUUCUUGCUUUUCUCAAAAGCAAGUGGUGCGGAUGGGACUCUCUCCCGCCUGGUUUCCAAUUUCCAGUCAAAGAAUUGGUGGCGAGCCUGAGU
rnacentral:ncRNA from 1 species